CAGCCGCCGCGGUAAUGCGAAGGGUGCAAGCGUUAAUCGGAAUUACUGGGCGUAAAGCGUGCGUAGGCGGUGAGUUAAGUCUGCUGUGAAAUCCCCGGGCCCAACCUGGGAAUGGCGGUGGAUACUGGCUCGCUAGAGUGUGUCAGAGGAUGGUGGAAUUCCCGGUGUAGCGGUGAAAUGCGUAGAGAUCGGGAGGAACACCGAUGGCGAAGGCAGCCCCCAGGGCCAACACUGACGCUCAUGCACGAAAGCGUGGGGAGCAAACAGGAUUAGAUACCCCCGUAGUCCCUGUCUCUUAUAC
rnacentral:rRNA from 1 species